AGCAUACUCCCUCCGUCCGGAAAUACUUGUCAUCAAAAUGGACAAAAGGAGAUGUAUCUAGACGUAUUUUAGUUUUAGAUACAAUCCUUUUUAUCCAUUUUGAUGACAAGUAUUUUCAGACGGAGGGAGUAUUAA
rfam:Triticum aestivum genome assembly, contig: Triticum_aestivum_CS42_TGACv1_scaffold_393465_5AS